UGAGGGAAUAUUUGGGGUCAAUGGGCGGAAGCCUGAACCAGCCAUGCCGCGUGAAGGAAUAAGGCCCUAUGGGUCGUAAACUUCUUUUGGCGGGGAGCAAUAAGGUCUACGUGUAGACCGAUGAGAGUACUCGUUGAAUAAGCAUCGGCUAACUCCGUGCCAGCAGCCGCGGUAAUACGGAGGAUGCGAGCGUUAUCCGGAUUUAUUGGGUUUAAAGGGUGCGUAGGCUGUUUGUCAAGUCAGAGGUGAAAGGCCGCAGCUCAACUGUGGAAUUGCCUUUGAUACUGGCAGGCUUGAAUACUGUUGCCGUGGGAGGAAUGAGUAGUGUA
rnacentral:rRNA from 1 species